GUGAGGAAUAUUGCGCAAUGGACGAAAGUCUGACGCAGCCAUGCCGCGUGAAGGAUUGACGGCCCUAUGGGUUGUAAACUUCUUUUGUAUAGGAAUAAACCCUCGUUCGUGAACGAGGCUGAAGGUACUAUAAGAAUAAGCACCGGCUAACUCCGUGCCAGCAGCCGCGGUAAUACGGAGGGUGCAAGCGUUAUCCGGAUUUAUUGGGUUUAAAGGGUCCGUAGGCGGAUCGUUAAGUCAGUAGUGAAAUCCUACCGCUCAACGGUAGAACUGCCAUUGAUACUGGCGAUCUUGAGUAUGUAUGAAGUUGGCGGAAUGUGUGGUGUAGCGGUGAAAUGCUUAGAUAUCACACAGAACACCGAUUGCGAAGGCAGCUGACUAAUACACAACUGACGCUGAGGGACGAAAGUGUGGGGAUCAAACAGGAUUAGAAACCCUGGUAGUCC
rnacentral:rRNA from 1 species